ensembl:lncRNA
AUCACAACUGAAAGCACAAGUUUUCAGUCUAUUGCUUUUUAAAUUACCCAUCAAAUAACUUUCCUUAUUUCUGAAGUGUCUUUCAGACAACCUUAGCUUUUCAUUUAGCUAUUUUCCAAGAAUCAACAAAUCAUAAGCUGUUCUUUCUAAAUAUUUGAAAUCAUUUGACUCAAGAGGACGCUGUUGGUAAGUGUUCCCUUUUGAAGGGUUUGUUGCUGUCAUCAAAAUAAUUGUGCUUUUAGGGUUUCUCACUAGACUGGAUCUAACUCAGUGGAAGAAGCAGUUGCAACAGUGAAGGGGACUGUGCAAGUCUCACAUCCAGAACACACCUCUGUGGGAGCUGCCGACACCAGAGCGAUGGAAAGGAAGUCCAGGAGGAAAAGAAAGACCUGCUCCUGUUUCUCAUGGUUAUGGAGCUGCAGAUGUUAUUUGAGAUGAAGUUAAUG